CACUCUAUAGCCCAGGCUGGAGUGCAAUGGCAAGAUCUCAGCUCAUUGCAACCUCCACCUCCCAGCUCAACCGAUCCUCCCUACCUCAGUCUCCUGAGUAGCUGGGACUACAGUUGUGUGUGAUUGUGCCCAGCUAAUUUUCGUAUUUUUUUGUAGAGACAGAGUUUUGCCAUAUUGCCCAGGCUGGUUUCGAACUCCUGGACUCAAGUGAUCCACCCGCCUCUGCCUCCCAAAGUGCUGGGAUUACAUACAGGUGUGAGCCACUGCACCCAGCCAGGCAGCUUUUUAUUAGACUUUCACUAGGUCCUUGUAGGUGGAACCUUAGUGGUCACAGUGGGCCAGGAGGGUUUGGCUAGUUUUGGCCUUUGUAGCCAUCUUUGAAUUACACUAUUAGUAGAUCAGUCUGGUCUCUAAAAGGAAAAAGACCACAGUCAUUAUUGGAGUUUGACUAUUCCGUUUAAAAUGUAGCUUUUAAGUGAGGUACAUCAUAAAGGAUCUACUGGCUGGGCACGGUGGCUCACGCCUGUAAGCCCAGCACUUUGGGAGGCCGAGACGGGCAGAUCACUUGAGGCCAGGAGUUUGAGACCAGCCUGGGCAACAUGGUGAAACCCCAUCUCUACUAAAAAUACAAAAAUUAGCUGGGCAUGGUGGUACGUGCCUGUAAUCCCAGCUACUCAGGAGGCUGAGGCAGGACAAUCACUUGAACCCGGGAGGCGGAGGUUUCAGUGAGCCAAGAUCACUCCAUUGCAUUCCAGCCUGAGUGACAGAGCAAGACUCUGUUUAAAAAAGACAACGAAAACCGAAAAACAAAGAACAGGUGGAGUCUACUGACUUGCAUGAGUCAGGUAAUUCAUUGACCGGGGCUGGUCAAAAAGAUGGGUUGAUCCUUACUGUGGAAGCUCUCAGCUGCCCUGCAAUACUUUGGAAAUAAACCAGGCAAAACACUGCUCAGUGUGCUGCACUCCAGACACAAACAGGAAGCUGCUCUUUCUCUGCUUCCCUCCCCCACAAUCAGACUCUUGUAACUCUCUUUUCUUCUUUUUCUAAAAUGAAUCUGGGAGUUUCCUUUAGCCCCUGUUUUGUGGUCGCCUCCCAUACACGUUUUAUCUGUCCGUGGCAUUUUCUUUUAUUUAUUGAAAGCACCGUGUCUUAGAUCAAGUCUUGAGAAACAGAACCUGAGACAAACAUGAAUGUGGUUAAUUGAACGAGCGCUGUGCAGGAAAAGCUGUACUGGAGAGAGGUAAGCGGACAGAUACGGGGAAGAGCUGGGCCCAGCAAAGAUGAGGUCUCAAGUAAAGCUUAUGUUUGGCUUAAUCCACCGGGGACGGUUCUGGAACAUAAGCCACACCGCAGAGCUGUGAUGUCACACCUUGAGGCGAGGGCCUUGCCUCCUGGUAUCAGUCAGUCCUGGCUGUGGGGAGCAAGGUGGCUCCACUCAGUGCAAGGCCAUCCUGGGCAAGGGGCAGCCCCCCUCACCGCAGUGGCCUGGCAGUGGGGCCCUGGGUCCGGCACAGCUCCUCCUUCGCACAGUGCUGUCUGCUCGCCCGGUGUCUUUCAUGCCGUUUCCCACCAACUUCCCUCCUCUGCCUCCUGCUCUGCAUUGCACAGUGCAGCGAGGUUGCCAAUUCCAUAGUUGUAGCGGCUGUGGGGGAAGGGGCAGGCGGGACAGGGGAGGCAGCCAUCUAACUUUUGUCCUGACUCACGCAGGCCUGGCCUGGUGUUCAGAACACAAAUGUGAAAAAUCAGACCGGGAAGAUCACGGGAGGCAGGAAGCAUCUGGUUUGCAGGAGUCUCACUCUGUCACCCAGGCUGGAGUGCAGUGGCGUGAUCUCAGCUGACUGCAAUCUCCACCCAAGUUCAAGAGAUUCUUCUGCCUCAGCCUCCCACGUAGCUGGGACUACAGGUAUGUGUCACCACUCCUGGCUAACUUUUUUAUUUUUAGUGGAGAAUGGGUUUCACCAUGUUGGCCAGGCUGGCCUUGAAAUCCUGACCUCAAGUGAUCCACCCACCUCGACCUCCCAAAGUGCUGGGAUUAUAGGAAUGAGCCACCACGCCUGGCCACCCUUGGCUAUGUUAUUAAAGACAUGCAAGGGAAACAUUAACUUCCAUAUUAAAAUAUUCUCUUUCUUUUUUUAUCCUGUACAGAGCAUACCAUAGCAGCUUGUGCCUGAGACCUCGACAAAUAUCUGGGGGAUAGAUUGGCUUGCAGAGCACAUUCUGCCUAUAGAAAUGAGUUAGCAAGUUUAGUCAGCCAUUGUAGAUUUCAAAGGGUGAGAAGCCUAGCCAGAGGUUAUAAUAUAGCAUGAUAUCCUCCUGGAAAUGGAAUUCUUCACUUGCGAUGCAUUUUAGGAGCCGCUGCUCUGUGUGAGCCACUCUGCUAGGUCCCAGCAUGCAUGAUAUUAUUCUACACAAAGAAUAAUAUCAGAGCUCACAGCCUAUGCAGGAAGUAAGCAAUUAGUUACAGCGUGAUGUGUACUGCAACCCAGGUAAGUACACAGUGUCAUGGAUGCUUCCAGGAGGAAGUCAUAGUCUGACCAGGAAGUUUGGGAAUACUUCUCAUAGGAAGCAACAAGCUACCUGGAAAGAUCUAGAAAGAUGAACAGUACCAGUGUAUUGAUUAGAAAUGCGUUCAGCAGCAAGUCAUAGAACACAUGACUAGUAAGGUUUAAACAAAUAGAAGGUUAUUUUCUCAUAUAAUAAGCCCAGAGGUAGGCACUAAAGGUGGUACAUUGGCUCAGUGGUGUUGGGACUAAGGUUUCUAAAAUUCUCUUGUCCUCUAAGACAUGGCUGCAGGUUGGCUGCAGCAGCUCCAGGCAUCGUGUCCACACUGAAAGGAGAAAGGGGGAGGCCAGCUAUGAUUUCCCCUUUUAUCAGGAAAGCAGAAACCUUCCUGUGGAUUUCUGCUUAUAUCCCACUAGCCAGAACUGGGUCAUGUGGCUAUCCUUAGCAGCAAGGGAGCCAGGAAAGAGAGGAUUUCACUUCUCCAGCUUCUUCUGUAUAUGGGAGGGCAGGUAGGUGAAGGGGGCUAGACUGAAUCCUGUGUGAGCCAACUAGCAGGCAGAACAUUUUGCAUAGAACUGCAUUUGCAAAAACAUGGAGCUGUGAAAGUGUGUGGAACAUUUACAGGCUAUUUAUUUAUUUAUUUAUUUAGAGACAGAUUCUUGCUUUGUCGCCCAGGCUAGAGUGCAGUGACACGAUCUUGGCUCACUGCAACCUCUGCUUCCUGGGUUCAAGCAAUUCUCCUGCCUCAGCAUCCCCAGUAGCUGGGAUUACAGGUGCCUGCCACCAUGCCUGGCUAAUUUUUGUAUUUUUAGUAGAGACGGGGUUUCACCAUGUUGGCCAGGCUGAUCUUGAACUCCUGACCUCAAGUGAUCCACCCGCCUCAGCCUCCCAAAGUGCUGGGAUUACAGGCGUGAGCCACCGCCCCCAGCCUACAAUCAAAAAAUUUAAUAUCAUCAAAUUACAGGGCAUGUGGCAGAGAAGUGUGGGCAGACAAGACACAGAGAAGUGGAGAUGAGACUCUUCAGACCCUUGAAUGACAUGUUGAAGAGCUUGGAAUUUUCUUAUAGAACGUAGGUAAUCAAUAGAGAGGUUUCAUCCGAGGAAUGAUAAAAAUCCAUUUGGGAAACAGAGGCGGUGUGGAGGAUGGGUCAAGAGAGAAUCAGAAGGCAGAUGAUUUACAGCAAUCCAGGCCAGAUAUCAGGAGGGCCUACUCUAAGAUUGCUUUUAGCAUAGCUACUGGGGAAGAGUCGGGCAGGAGAGCCCAGAGGCCCCGCAUGUGAUGGAAACAGCUGCCCAAACUGCAUCUUCAGGUAAAUAUGGCAGACCAUAGUUCCCCCUUCAUAAAGGCCUCUUGGGCGUGUUUCCUGGAAGGAAGAGGUGGGAGAUGUCGCCAUGCUCAGCACAUACGUGAGGUGUUGCAUUAGUCUCCUGGGGCUGCCGUAACAAAGUACCACAAAGCAGAUGGAAACAACAUGCAUUUUUCCCCCCACAGUUCUGGAAGGUGGAAGGCCAGGAUCAGGUGUCAGGAGGGUUGGUUUUUUCUGGGGGUUCUGAGAGAAUCUGAGGGGAAUUCCAUGGCUUUCUCCCAGCUUCUGGUAGUUGCUGGCAAUCCCUGGUGUUCCUGGGCCUGUAGACACGUCACCCCCAUCUCCGCCUCUGUUUUCAUGUGGCAUCCUCCCCGGUGCGUGUCUGUGUGCCCCAACCCCCUUGUCUUAUGAGGCCCACUCUAAUCCAACAGGACCUCGUCUUUACAUAAUCAGAUCUGCUAAGAUCCUGUUUCCAAAUAAGGCCAUGUUCACAGAUACCUAGGGUUAGGACUUGGACAUAUCUUUUGGGGGGACCCGAUUCAACUCACAACAGGUGUUUGAGGGCAGCUCUAGUUGAGAGUGUCAGAGAACCUCUGGCUUAAAGGAGGAACAGGGAGUCUAUCUGCUUGCAAUGUCUGAAGUAGAGUGGAGUGGCUUUACUGUCCUUGGUAGAGAGCAUGUCCUGCUUCAUUCUCAGGAAGGAUCUCACUGUGAGGUGGCUACGAUUACUCUCUGCCCACCCUGGUUGCAUCUGGCUUACAGAAGACAAUCCCAGAAGAAACAGUCUCCCCCAAAGUCCGCAGCAACCCUUCCACUAGGAGUCUACUCCUGCUUACACAAGGCCCAUGCUCACGCCUCACCCCACUGCUGUGUCCAGGGCUUCGUGGUAUCCUGAUGGGCUAGCGUGGGUCACACUCCCACCCUUUGAGCCAUGGGCCCACCUAGUCCAAAUCAUAACAACUGAACAGGAUGAUCACAGGUUGUGGAGAUGAAUCUGCCAAAGUGAUGCUAGGCAGUGCGCUUUCUUUUUUAUUUUUAAAAUAUUUUUUGCAUGUAUGUAUGUAUGUGAGACAGUCUCGCUCUGUCGUCCAGGCUGGAGUGCAGUGGCAAGAUCUCGGCUCACUGCAACCUCUGCCUCCUGGGUUCAAGCAGUUCUCCUGCCUCAGUCCCCCGAGCUGUGAUUACAGGCAUGUGCCACCACACCCGGGUAAUUUUUGUAUUUUUGUUAGAGAUGAGAAUUCACCAUGUUGGCCAUGCUGGUCUCCUGACUUCAAGUGAUCCGCCUGCCUCAGCCUCCCAAAGUGCUGGGAUUACAGGCGUGAGCCACCAUGUGCAGCCAGUAGUGCUCUUUCUUUACCUCUGCCCAAAUGAGGACAAGGAGAUGAAGCGUGGCUGAAAGCAUCAGCCUCUUCCCAGCUGUCCUGAUUGCAUGGGCCGCUUGUCCACUGGACAGGUACUUUUCCUGCCGGGCCUGCUCGUGUGGUUUGGACAGAUGCCCAACUGUCAGGCUCACUCUGUUCUGUUCAGGGAGCUGGCAUUUGCUCCAGUUUCCUCACCUGCCCACAGGGCAGGUGUGUGUCUGUGCGCCCCAACCCCCUUGUCUUAUGAGGCCCACUCUAAUCCAAAAGGACCUCAUCUUUACAUAAUCAGAUCUGCUACGAUACUAUUUCCAAAUAAGGCCAUGUUCACAGAUAUAUGAAUGGUAAGAGCCAGUGGGCCAGGUUGCCCAUGUGAGGGAGCCGGUCUCCGCACCUUGAAUUUCUCUACUGUUCUGGCCUCCGGGGCCAUGACAUUGAGGAUGGCUGGCCACUGGGCAUUGCUCCUUGCACCAUUUUCUCUGGGACUCCCUGAUACAUGUGAGGUUCUUCUUUCUCAGGCCUCUUUGAGGUGCAGGGACCCCCCCGCCCCCAUUGCCUAGUACUCCAAACUGGCCUAGGUCUACCUCUCCCAGCCCAAAUGUCCUGAGGUCCGUGACUGGAUUAUGACUUCAUAAACACCCUUCCCCCACCCUCACCACCACCACUUCCAGCAUCUGAGCUGGAAGACUGCCCGUGUCCUUCCAAUCCACUUCCCUUCCCUGUUGUUCAUCCUCACAUUUCUCUAACCACAGGCCAGCAGAGCUAGAAAAAACCCUAGGACAACUAGUCCAGCAACGGCGAAACAUUCAUUUUAACCUUAGUUCACAUGGUGCAGCCGCUACAGAAAACGGUAUGCGAGUUCCUCAAAAAAUGAAACAUAUGAUCCAGCAGUUUCACUUCUGGGUUUCUGGGUAUAUUCCCAAAAAAACUGAAAGCAGAAACUUAAAUAGCUGUUUGUACACCCACGCUUAUAGCAGCAUUAGUCACAAUAGCCAAAAGGUAGAAGAAGCCCAAGUGUAUAUCAACAGAUGCAUGGAGAAACAAAUGUGUAUACAUACAAUGGGUUAUUAUUCAGCUAUAAAAAAGGAAUGAGGCCAGGAUCAGUGGCUCACACCUGUUAUCCCAGCAUUUUGGGAGGCCAAGGUGGGCGGAUAACCUGAGGUCAGGAGUUCAAUACCGGCCUGGCCAACUUGGUGAAACCCCCGUCUCUACAAAAAUGCAAAAAUUAGCCGGGCAUGAUGGCAGGUACCUGUAAUUCCAGCUACUUGGGAGGCUGAGGCAGAAGAAUUGCUUGAACCACGGAGGCGGAGGUUGCAGUGAGCUGAGAUCGCACCAUUGCACUCCAGCCUGGUUGACAGAGCGAGACUCUGUCUCAAAAAAAAAAAAAAAAGGAAUGAAAUUCAGAUACAUGCUACAACAUGGAUCAACCUUGAAGACAUCAUACUAAGUAAAAUAAGCCAGUCACAAAAGGAUAAGCAGUAUAUGAUUCCACUUAUAUGAGGUACCUAAAGUAGUCUAAUUCAAAGACAGAAAGUAUAAUAGUGAUUACCACGGGUUGGAGGGAAGGAGAAGGGGAGUUAUUGUUUAAUCAUAUAGAGUUUGGGAAGAUGAAAAAGUCCUGGAGAUGGACAGUGGUGAUGGUUGUACAAUAAUGUGGAUGUACUUAAUGCCACUGAACGGCACACUUAAAAUGGUUAACAUGGUAAAUUUUAUGUUAUGCAUAUUUUACAACAAUAAAC
rnacentral:lncRNA from 1 species